rnacentral:lncRNA from 1 species
GCCAAGUCCGUCCCAUUCCCAGCACAUCAGGAUCAAGACACUAUGGAUAAUAUUCAAGACCUACUGGCUACAAACCUUUAUAGGAUCAGGAGAGUGGCUCCAACAUAUAACAAGUAUGCCCUUCCAGGAGAAAGAGGAACAACAGAACAAGUAAAGGAAAUCCUCAUUCGCAGACACAAGAGCCUGCAACAAAGUCUUUCUCAAAGUGACUCUGAUCAGUCUCAAAAAGAGAGAGAUACCUAUUCUUUAUCACAUGAUGGUUCUGAAAGAAUGGAUAAACGAUGCCAGUCAUUCACUA